UUGAAACUCAAAGGAAUUGACGGGGGCCCGCACAAGCGGUGGAGUAUGUGGUUUAAUUCGAAGCAACGCGAAGAACCUUACCAGGGCUUGACAUCCCAAGGCCAGAGUUAGAGAUAACUCCUUCCUUCGGGACCUUGGUGACAGGUGGUGCAUGGUUGUCGUCAGCUCGUGUCGUGAGAUGUUGGGUUAAGUCCCGCAACGGGCGCAACCCCUAUUGUUAGUUGCUACGCGAGAGCACUCUAGCGAGACUGCCGUUGACAAAACGGAGGAAGGUGGGGACGACGUCAAAUCAUCAUGCCCCUUAUGUCCUGGGCUACACACGUACUACAAUGGCGGUUAACAGUGGGAGGCAAUACCGCGAGGUGGAGCAAACCCCUAAAAGCCGUCCCAGUUCGGAUUGCAGGCUGCAACCCGCCUGUAUGAAGUUGGAAUCGCUAGUAAUCGCGGAUCAGCAUGCCGCGGUGAAUACGUUCCCGGGCCUUGUACACACCGCCCGUCACACCAUGAGAGUCGGGAACACCC
rnacentral:rRNA from 1 species